rnacentral:lncRNA from 1 species
ACGUGUUCUCCUCUACGCCAUCACCACACCGCACAAGACUCAUAUUAACCCUGUCUCUGCCCGUAGACCCCACACCCUUCUUCCCCGGCCAUAACAACAAAACCCCUGAAAAAUCACCUCCCCCAAAUCCACACGUUCCCCUCCUCACCACCGUGGGGAAAAGAUCCCUCCGCUCCCCAAUGGCUCUCCUCCCCCAAAUCCUCCCCUCCCCGCGCCCCCAUCCCCACCUCGCCGCCUCCCGCCACCCUUUCUCCCCCGCCCACGCAUUCCGCACAGCGNNNNNNNNNNCCGCACAAGACUCAUAUUAACCCUGUCUCUGCCCAUAGACCCCACACCCUUCUUCCCCGGCCAUAACAACAAAACGCCUGAAAAAUCACCUCCCCCAAAUCCACACGUUCCCCUCCUCACCACCGUGGGGAAAAGAUCCCUCAACUCCCCAAUGGCUCUCCUCCCCCAAAUCCUCCCCUCCCCGCGCCCCCAUCCCCACCUCGCCGCCUCCCGCUACCCUUUCUCCCCCGCCCACGCAUUCCGCACAGCGCCUCGCCUCCACGCCUCUGGCCACCGCCGCCGAGGCCGCCUCGC